GAUAAACCACCUUCGGGAGCCGAAAGGGAAAGUCCUGCGGCGGCACCACCUUUGGCGGCCGAACCUGAGGUUUUCCUUCAAAACUCUUUUCUUUCUUUUUUUUUAACACGAAACCUUACUAUUUUCAAAUUUAUUUUAUAAAAACCUUAUUUUACCCCUUUUAAGGAGAUUUCAGCUUCAAAAAUUCUGGAUUCCAACGGGAAUUCUGUUGUAAGGUUGGAAUUCUGACGCCGGAGUCUAGCCGGGUAUUACAAUCUCAUAUAAUUGGUCCUAAAGUUUUGAGUCACUGUACUCCAAGAUCCACAUCAAAAUCAUCUAAUGGUAAUAAAUAAAAUUCAAUAGGAAAUUGUUCACCUUCAGUUCACAACUGUUCAACACUCAGCUUAGUACUCAGAACCUUUUCUUCAUUAGCUACCGCUACCUGCAAUCCAGCAUGGGGUUAACUCAACAGCUUAAGUCGUUGGACAUCAACCUAACUUAUGAAAUUAUGCGUGCUGUCCGAGUCGACUAGUACUGGAAUUGGACAACCCCUAAUCUAAGCUAUUAAAUGCGUCGUUUGUAAAUUUUUAAUCCAGAAAUAGCAUAUAAGGAAAUAGCGGGCUCAUCCGAU
rnacentral:lncRNA from 1 species